AUUGAACGCUGGCGGCAUGCUUUACACAUGCAAGUCGAACGGACCUAGGGGCUUGCUCCUAGGUUAGUGGCGAACGGGUGAGUAAUGCAUCGGAACGUACCGUGUAAUGGGGGAUAACGCAGCGAAAGUUGUGCUAAUACCGCAUACGAUCUACGGAUGAAAGCAGGGGAUCGCAAGACCUUGCGUUAUACGAGCGGCCGAUGUCGGAUUAGCUAGUUGGUAGGGUAAAGGCCUACCAAGGCAACGAUCCGUAGCGGGUCUGAGAGGAUGAUCCGCCACACUGGGACUGAGACACGGCCCAGACUCCUACGGGAGGCAGCAGUGGGGAAUUUUGGACAAUGGGCGCAAGCCUGAUCCAGCCAUGCCGCGUGAGUGAAGAAGGCCU
rnacentral:rRNA from 1 species